rnacentral:lncRNA from 1 species
UUAUUAUCAAACUGUAAGAACACAAACCCAACGAGAACAGUGGAGCGUCGCCGACCAUCAGGCCGCGUACUGCGUAGGCAGGGCGGCCCGGAGUCGGGUAGUCCCCAACGGCCACAGCCAGGGCCCUGCCAACUUCCUCAAAUCGACGGAGGCAAGACUGUCGCUGCUCGCGUCCCUCCCGCCCGGCUUGGGCCAUUUAGAUCAGGUAGCUGGGGUCGGCCUGCGAGCCAGGGUGGCGAGAGGAGAAGUGCUGCUACGGUGGCGGCGGCCCGACGGAGAGCAGCAGGUGAUGCGGAGGAGAGGCUCUGCGGUCUCCUCCCCCUCCAUCUUUUCAGUGGCGGGGGCAACCAGCCGAGCCGACCCACCCCGGGCCGUCAGUUGGGAUUUCUGGCGCGGCGGGAUGGUGUCUUUCCGGCCCCGCUGAAGACGUCUCCCCGCGCUUCCUUCCCCUGCGCCAUCCGUGGCCUUUCACUCGAUGUCGACCCAAGCUCGGGGCGAGUUCCAAACCAACCGGGUGCCGUGCGCGUGUCGGCAGUUACCUUUCGGCCACUUGACGUAACGCUGGCCAAUCCUGAACUCGCGUGUGAGGGAGGCAGUCACGGUCUCACUGAUGAAUCCCUCACCUCUCCCCUGUGCCUUCCCCCCAGGACCUUCUUCCGCGGAUUCUACCCAGGACUUUCUUUCUUCCAGGAGCUCCUCUCCCUUGGACUGCGCCUUCAAGACCUGUCCUCUGCCCGCCGUCCAAAUCCCCUCUCCCUCCGGCUCGGCUCUUACAGCUGGACUCCAUCUCUCCCGCUCACGGGACCCAAGGACUCAGGGGACAUCAGGUCUUCAGUUGCGCCUGAAAAACUUUCUACUGAAACGAGACGUGUCCAAGGCACGUGCCGCCCGUAGGACCGCCCCACCCCACGCCACCUCUCGGCCCCCCUGCAACACCUCCGGUGUCGCGCUACCCGGCUUGGGGUAGGGGAUAGGGGAAUGAGAGGACGAGGGUUGAUGUGGAUGAUACUUUAAGCCAGAGAAACUGCAGAAACCGGCGACGUACCAGCCCGCCUACUUCACUCCUCCAACGCUAGCCCUCUCGCCGUACCUCGACCUCAUCUAUCUCGCCGGUGACCCCUCGCCCACGCCGUCCCUCCUCAUGUCCGACAGACGGUCUCUCUCCCCCGCCCUCAAAGCCUUAUUGAAGGCCCAUCUCCUCCAAGAGGCCUUCCCUGACCAAACCCCCCUUUCCUCUUCUCCCGCCCCCUUCUGCGUCGCCCCGAAGUGCUCCCUUCAUUAAUCUCCCCUCCUAGCCCCACGGCACUUAUGUGCAUGUCUCUAAUUCAUUUCUUCGUAUUAAUGUCCGUCUCCCCCUCUAGACCGUCGGCUCGUUGUGGGCAGGGAAUGUGUCCGUUUACUGUCGUAUUGUACUCUCCCAAACGCUCCGCACACAGAAAACGCGCCGUAAAUACGAUUGAAUGAACGUGUGUAUAUAUAUAUCUAUAAUUCUCUUGAUCUGUUUGAUGCUGUUGAUGCCUGUCUACUUGUUUUGUUGUUUGUCUCCCCACCGGCUAGACUGUGAGCCCACUGUUGGGUAGGGGUUGUCUCUAUCUGUUGCCCAGUUGUCCUUUCCAAGCGCUUAGUAC